AUUGAACGCUGGCGGCAGGCCUAACACAUGCAAGUCGAGCGGAUGAAGGGAGCUUGCUUCUGGAUUCAGCGGCGGACGGGUGAGUAAUGCCUAGGAAUCUGCCUGGUAGUGGGGGAUAACGUCCGGAAACGGGCGCUAAUACCGCAUACGUCCUGAGGGAGAAAGUGGGGGAUCUUCGGACCUCACGCUAUCAGAUGAGCCUAGGUCGGAUUAGCUAGUUGGUGGGGUAAAGGCCUACCAAGGCGACGAUCCGUAACUGGUCUGAGAGGAUGAUCAGUCACACUGGAACUGAGACACGGUCCAGACUCCUACGGGAGGCAGCAGUGGGGAAUAUUGGACAAUGGGCGAAAGCCUGAUCCAGCCAUGCCGCGUGUGUGAAGAAGGUCUUCGGAUUGUAAAGCACUUUAAGUUGGGAGGAAGGGCAGUAAGUUAAUACCUUGCUGUUUUGACGUUACCAACAGAAUAAGCGCCGGCUAACUUCGUGC
rnacentral:rRNA from 1 species